rnacentral:rRNA from 1 species
UACGGAGGGUGCAAGCGUUACUCGGAAUCACUGGGCGUAAAGCGCGCGCAGGCGGCCAUUUAAGUUGGAUGUGAAAGCCUACGGCUCAACCGUAGAACUGCAUCCAAAACUAUUUGGCUAGAGUGUGGGAGAGGAAGAUGGAAUUAGUUGUGUAGGGGUAAAAUCCGUAGAGAUAACUAGGAAUACCAAAAGCGAAGGCAAUCUUCUGGAACACUGCUGACGCUGAGGCGCGAAAGCGUGGGGAGCAAACGGGAUUAGAAACCCGGGUAGUCC